rnacentral:rRNA from 1 species
UGAGGAAUAUUGGGCAAUGCCCGCAAGGGUGACCCAGCAACGCCGCGUGGAGGAUGAAUGUCGUAAGAUUGUAAACUCCUGUUAGAGGGGAAGAAUAGUACCGGUUGGACCGGUAUAUGACUGUACCCUCAGAGAAAGCCCCGGCUAACUACGUGCCAGCAGCCGCGGUAAUACGUAGGGGGCAAGCGUUGUCCGGAUUUACUGGGUGUAAAGGGCGCGCAGGCGGGAUAAAAAGUUAGUGGUGAAAUCCUACAGCUUAACUGUAGAACUGCCUCUGAUACUGUUAUUCUUGAGUUCGGGAGAGAGAGACGGAAUUCCAGGUGUAGUGGUGAAAUACGUAGAUAUCUGGAACAACACCAGUUGCGAAGGCGGUCUCUUGGUCCGACACUGACGCUGAGGCGCGAAAGCGUGGGGAGCAAACA